GGAUUGUGGCUCAUUGGUAGAGCACUCUUCUUGCAUAUGUGAGGCCCUGGGUUCAAUCCUCAGCACCA
rnacentral:tRNA from 1 species